CUGGGCAAUGGCGGGCGCCCCUCCCCCAGCCUCGCUGCAGCCUUGCAGUUUGAUCACAGACUGCUGUGCUAGCAAUUAGUGAGACUCCGUGGGCGUAGGACCCUCUGAGCCAGGUGUGGGAUAUAAUCUCGUGGUGCCGUUUUUUAAGCUCGUCGGAAAAGCGCAGUAUUCGGUUGGGAGUGGUCCGAUUUUCCAGGUGCCAUCCGUCACCCCUUUCUUUGACUCGGAAAGGGAACUCCCUGACCCCUUGCGCUUCCCAAGUGAGGCAAUGCCUCGCCCUGCUUCGGCUCGUGCACGGUGCGCGCACCCACUGACCUGCGCCCACUGUCUGGCACUCCCUAGUGAGAUGAACCCGGUACCUCAGAUGGAAAUGCAGAAAUCACCGUCUUCUGCGUCGCUCACGCUGGGAGCUGUAGACCGGAGCUGUUCCUAUUCGGCCAUCUUGGCCAAUUUUCUACUCUUUGGAUCAUACCGAUUUUAAUGCAGCCUCAUCUACUUACUCAUUUUAGAGACAACACCAACAUUUUUGUAAUGGCCUGCAAGGCCUUCCGAGAUCUACCUCCUGCAACUCAGCUUCUCCUGUGCUCUCCUUCUGGACUCACUCUGCCUCAGCAACACUGGUCCCUGUUGCCCCACCAAUAUGCCAGGUAAACCUCAGGUUCUCCUCCUGCCUUUUGCUAAGUAUAUGUCUUGAUGACAAGCCUUCUGCUGAUGAGCUGUGUUUCUGGACCGAUCAUGGUAGAAGUCAAUUAACGUGUCCCUCACUUGGGGUUUCUCAAGGCUGCACUGAUGAGGAAACUGAAACAGAAAAUCCAGAGUAAAUUCCACCAGGCCACACAGCAAGGUCUGAUAGAGCCAGGAGAGACUUUAUGAAAUCCAGACUCUCACACUAAUGCUCUAUCAGCUAGACCUCCAUGUGAGUCUCCCCAAUGUAGGUAGGAAGUGCUUUCCCUAAAAUGCUCAUAAAGCAAAUCAGAGCAAUGCUGCAUUCCAUGUGAUUUCUAAUUUGAAAUGCAAACAAUUGCCAAUUUGUUUGACUUGUAUUUAUAAUUAUUUCCUUGUGAAUUACUCAUCACUAAAUGCUUUAUAAAUAUUUUCUCUUUUUUUCCUCAAUGUCUAUGGAAUGAUCACAGCAUAGAAAAUGUUGGCUUUCAAGGAUUUAUUAAUAUCUCCUUUUGAAAUAACAUGUAUUUGUAAGACAGAAUAAAAUCACUUUAAAGAAACAAAUCUUGAAUUUGAUUUCCCGUUCAGACAAUGACUUAUUUGAUGUCCUUAAUAAGAUGAACUACAUAGUGACUUUUAUUUAAAGGAUCCAUUAUAUAAGAAGUAGAAAAGUAAAUAUGCACACUUAGAUGAGCACGGCCUUGCCAACAGCUCCUUCUGAUAGAUUUUUAGACUUUACUAAGUUUGU
rnacentral:lncRNA from 10 species